GAUGAACGCUGGCGGCGUGCCUAAUACAUGCAAGUCGAGCGAACAGACGAGGAGCUUGCUCCUCUGACGUUAGCGGCGGACGGGUGAGUAACACGUGGAUAACCUACCUAUAAGACUGGGAUAACUUCGGGAAACCGGAGCUAAUACCGGAUAAUAUAUUGAACCGCAUGGUUCAAUAGUAAAAGACGGUUUUGCUGUCACUUAUAGAUGGAUCCGCGCCGCAUUAGCUAGUUGGUAAGGUAACGGCUUACCAAGGCAACGAUGCGUAGCCGACCUGAGAGGGUGAUCGGCCACACUGGAACUGAGACACGGUCCAGACUCCUACGGGAGGCAGCAGUAGGGAAUCUUCCGCAAUGGGCGAAAGCUUGACGGAGCAACGCCGCGUGAGUGAUGAAGGUCUUCGGAUCGUAAAACUCUGUUAUUAGGGAAGAACAAAUGUGUAAGUAACUAUGCACGUCUUGACGGUACCUAAUCAGAAAGCCACGGCUAACUACGUG
rnacentral:rRNA from 1 species